AUUGAACGCUGGCGGCAGGCCUAACACAUGCAAGUCGAGCGAGCGGCGGACGGGUGAGUAAUGUAUGGGGAUCUGCCCGAUAGAGGGGGAUAACUACUGGAAACGGUAGCUAAUACCGCAUAACAUCAGAUGUGCCCAGAUGGGAUUCGCUAGUAGGUGGGGUAACGGCUCACCUAGGCGACGAUCCCUAGCUGGUCUGAGAGGAUGACCAGCCACACUGGAACUGAGACACGGUCCUGACUCCUACGGGAGGCAGCAGGGGGGAAUAUGGCACAAUGGGCGCAAUCCGGAUGCAGCCAUGCCGCGUGUGUGAAGAAGGCCUUAGGGUUGUAAAGCACUUUCAGCGGGGAGGCGUUACCCGCAGAAGAAGCACCGGCUAACUCCGUGCCAGCAGCCGCGGUAAUUC
rnacentral:rRNA from 1 species